AUUGAACGCUGGCGGCAGGCUUAACACAUGCAAGUCGAGCGGGGGAAGGUAGCUUGCUACCGGACCUAGCGGCGGACGGGUGAGUAAUGCUUAGGAAUCUGCCUAUUAGUGGGGGACAACAUCUCGAAAGGGAUGCUAAAACCGCAUACGUCCUACGGGAGAAAGCAGGGGAUCUUCGGACCUUGCGCUAAUAGAUGAGCCUAAGUCGGAUUAGCUAGUUGGUGGGGUAAAGGCCUACCAAGGCGACGAUCUGUAGCGGGUCUGAGAGGAUGAUCCGCAACACGGGGACUGAGACACGGCCCAGACUCCUACGGGAGGCAGCAGUGGGGAAUAUUGGACAAUGGGGGGAACCCUGAUCCAGCCAUGCCGCGUGUGUGAAGAAGGCCUUAUGGUUGUAAAGCACUUUAAGCGAGGAGGAGGCUACUCUAGUUAAUACCUAGGGAUAGUGGACGUUCUCGCAGAAUAAGCACCGGCUAACUCUGUGCCAGCCGCCGCCGUAA
rnacentral:rRNA from 1 species